UUAUAUUCUUAUCCAAAUAGAAUUCAGAUGUUUGUGACGUUUGGGUAUCACUAUUUAUAGGCCUUAACGUAAAAGGGGUAGAAGAAGAAAUGUGCUUCCUAUAUAUGUAAAAACAAAUGUGAUAUUUAGAGUUUUGUAUAUGUGACACUACGUGCAUAAUGUAUAUAACUACAAGAAAGUUGGCUUUUAGCGACGACCCCUUUAGCGGCGACAUCAAAGAAGUCGUCGCUAAAAGGCCAAUCCGUGUCCAGAUUCUAAAACAAAUCCCUGACCGUUGAUGUUGUGUGCAAUCUGACGGUCCAUGUUUUAUUGUUGCUUUAGGUGUACAAAACCUGUGGCGGGCAAACCAAUCACUCAUUCCCCCAAAUCGAUCCAUCAGCCCUACCCCAAACCUAAGAUGCCACCAGAUUGAUUCAACUCGGCCACAACCGUUCGCUCACUGCCACGAUCUACAUUGUUCGGACUCAUCUCACAUAUCCUCAGCCGCUUGCUCGACACACCACGUCCACUGCACCAGGUACCUUCCUUUUCCUCAAUUUUAUUGCUUUGGUUUUCCUAUUUAUGUGGUAAUUGAACACAUUAGGGUUCAGUUGGUUGGUUUUAUGGAUGAAGUAUAGAGCAAAAAUAUGGGGGGGGGGGGGGUGAUAUAUUGGAUUAUGUUCUUGUUUUUGAUGUACACUUGGGAUUUAGGGUGUAAGUAAUGUUGUCUGCACGUUUUGUAAGGAUUAUGUAUGUUGUUUUUGAACGGAUUAUGCAAGUUUUGAUGUACAAAUGUUUUUUGCUAUAUUGAUAGGAUUCUAAAGUAUAAUAAUGUUGGGGGCAGGGCUAAGAGAGGGGAUGUCGAGAUUAUGAGAGGGCAGUGCCGAUAUGGUGGCAUGAGUGGGUCUCGGUUUGACUUUGGUUAAUUGUUUUUCGGGGCAGGUUUGACUUUGCUUAGUUGUUUAGAUGCUUGCUGAACGUUGUGAGGUUUAUUAUUGACUUUGGUUAAUUGUUCUUAAAAACUAAUUGGCAAAAAAGAGCACAAAUAGGAUCUCCAUGUGUGAAAUGAAGCUCCCCUUUAUGACUUUGGUUAACUGUUCUUGAAAUGAAGCAAUCUUGUUAAUGUCUUAUAAGGGAACACUUCCUUUUUAAACUAAAAUUUAAAGAGUAAAUGGUUUAUUUUCCCGGAUUUUAACUUUUUCUUCUUAGAAAAUUAGUGGUUUUCUCUCAGGUUUUUGUUGGCACUAGAUUGCAUGUCACUGGAGGUGCUCUUAAGGGAGGGCGUGUGGUAGAUGGUGAAUCGGCUAUUGCAGUUUUGGACACUGCUGCUGGAGUUUGGUUAGAUAGACAUGGCUUGGUGACUUCUUCACAUAAUGACAAUGAACAAAAUGAAGAUUCGUCUUUAGAUCUCAUGCGUCGUUGUCGGCAUGCAUGGUAGCAUUAGUUAUUGUGUGUCAUAAAUUUCAUUAACUUUGUUUUGCUCUAAUAAUAUAUGCAUU
rnacentral:lncRNA from 1 species